GAUGAACGCUGGCGGCGUGCCUAAUACAUGUAAGUCGAGCGAACGGACGAGAAGCUUGCUUCUCUGAUGUUAGCGGCGGACGGGUGAGUCACACGUGGAUAACCUACCUAUAAGACUGGGAUAACUUCGGGAAACCGUAGCUAAUACCGGAUAAUAUUUUGAACCGCAUGGUUCAAAAGUGAAAGACGGUCUUGCUGUCACUUAUAGAUGGAUCCGCGCUGCAUUAGCUAGUUGGUAAGGUAACGGCUUACCAAGGCAACGAUGCAUAGCUGACCUGAGAGGGUGAUCGGCCACACUGGAACUGAGACACGGUCCAGACUCCUACGGGAGGCAGCAGUAGGGAAUCUUCCGCAAUGGGCGAAAGCCUGACGGAGCAACGCCGCGUGAGUGAUGAAGGUCUUCGGAUCGUAAAACUCUGUUAUUAGGGAAGAACAUAUGUGUAAGUAACUGUGCACAUCUUGACGGUACCUAAUCAGAAAGCCACGGCUAACUACGUG
rnacentral:rRNA from 1 species